rnacentral:rRNA from 1 species
AUAAGCAUCGGCUAACUCCGUGCCAGCAGCCGCGGUAAUACGGAGGAUGCAAGCGUUAUCCGGAUUUAUUGGGUUUAAAGGGUUCGCAGGCGGCGUAUUAAGUCAGUGGUGAAAUCCCUCGGCUCAACCGAGGAACUGCCAUUGAUACUGGUAUGCUAGAGUAUAGUUGGCGUAGGCGGAAUAUUUCAUGUAGCGGUGAAAUGCUUAGAUAUGAAAUAGAACACCGAUCGCGAAGGCAGCUUACGAAACUAUAACUGACGCUCAGGAACGAAAGCGUGGGGAGCGAACAGGAUUAGAUACCCUGGUAGUCCACGCUGUAAACGAUGAUUACUCGUUGUCGGCGAUACACA